GUGGCCCCGGCGGCGGUGUACGCCCCGCUAUGGCCGCGCGGCGCUGCAUGCGCGCGCCGCUCGGACGGAUGGGCCGGAUGACGGUCUGCAAGCGCCGCUGCCGCCCGAGCCGGCGCGCGUCGGCACGGGACGUCACCGCGAGCGCAGGAGGGAGCGCGAGGUGCCCAACUGGUUCGACGGCUACAUGAAGCAGUUCCAGAAGGACAUCGUGACGGAGGUGACCGAGGCCGUCAAGGCGGAGAUCCAGGCAUCGCCGGCUGCCGAGAUGACCUGCGCGUGUCCAUGCGCGCUGGCAGACUCGUCGACCGCGUCGCUGGGGCCGGGCUCGCGCGUGAGCCCGUCGCCGUCCAGCCGCACGGCGAGCCCCGCCCCGCCGCUGGCGGCGCGGGAGGACCGCGCCUCGCAG